rnacentral:rRNA from 1 species
AAUCAACGCUGGCGGCGUGCCUCAGACAUGCAAGUCGAACGCGAAAGUUUCCUUCGGGAAGCGAGUAGAGUGGCGUCCGGGUGAGUAACACGUAGGUAAUCUACCUUUGGGUGGGGAAUAACAACCGGAAACGGUUGCUAAUACCGCAUAAUGCAGCGGCACCACAUGGUGACAGUUGUUAAAGCGGGGGAUCGCAAGACCUCGCGCCUAAAGAGGAGCCUGCGGCGGAUUAGCUAGUGGUAAGGUAACGGCUUACCAAGGCAACGAUCCGUAGCCGGCCUGAGAGGGCGGUCGGCCACACUGACACUGAAAUACGGGUCAGACUCCUACGGGAGGCAGCAGUCGGGAAUUUUGGGCAAUGGGCGAAAGCCUGACCCAGCAACGCCGCGUGAAGGAUGAAAUCCCUCGGGAUGUAAACUUCGCAAGAACAAGGAAGAAUAAGUAGGGACAAUACCCCCUAUGAUGACGGUACUGUUUGUAAG